rnacentral:rRNA from 1 species
UGGGGAAUUUUGGACAAUGGGGGAAACCCUGAUCCAGCCAUCCCGCGUGUGCGAUGAAGGCCUUCGGGUUGUAAAGCACUUUUGGCAGGAAAGAAACGUCAUGGGUUAAUACCCCGUGAAACUGACGGUACCUGCAGAAUAAGCACCGGCUAACUACGUGCCAGCAGCCGCGGUAAUACGUAGGGUGCAAGCGUUAAUCGGAAUUACUGGGCGUAAAGCGUGCGCAGGCGGUUCGGAAAGAAAGAUGUGAAAUCCCAGAGCUCAACUUUGGAACUGGAAUUUUAACUACCGGGCUAGAGUGUGUCAGAGGGAGGUGGAAUUCCGCGUGUAGCAGUGAAAUACGUAGAUAUGCGGAGGAACACCGAUGGCGAAGUCAGCCUCCUGGGAUAACACUGACGCUCAUGCACGAAAGCGUGGGGAGCAAACAGG